CGAGUCCCAAACAGGACGAAACGCGCGUC
rfam:Schistosoma mattheei strain Denwood, Zambia genome assembly, scaffold: SMTD_scaffold0004776